rnacentral:lncRNA from 1 species
UUUUCAUUUUAUUUCAUCUUCAGAGAUGCAGGACUGAAGUUAGUGUCAGCAAGUCAUUUUUAUGGAGGUGGGCGCCUUGCUAUGCUGCCCAGGCUGUCUGUGAAUUCUUGAGCUCACACAACUCCCUUGCUUGGCCACCCGAGGCCAAAAGCACGGAGGUGACUCAUUUUGCAUCUGCACCUUUUGAAGUAUUAUCACCAGAGACUCCAACAUCUACUUUAGUGAGAAUGUAGCAGAGCAGUACGACGUAUACUACAAAGGUCUGAAUAACCUAGCAGAAAGGGAUGGAAGAAGGGAGGUGCUGGUCUCAGCAACUCUGGACAUUAGGAAAGGCGGGCGGUGGUGAGUGUACAGAAUCACGAGGUCCUAGCUGAUGCAUUUGUUUCCUGUGGGGUACAGAUGACCAUUUCUGAAACCACCGUAUGUGUGUACAGGCAUUGAACAACUUAAUAUGAAUUCA